rnacentral:rRNA from 1 species
UAUGGGAUGACACAGUAGGAUAAGCUAACCGCACUGUUGGUUAUGUGCGGGCAAGUAUUGAGGCAGUUCCGAUAGGCAAAUCCGUCGGAAUAAUGCUGGGGUACGAUGCGGAGCGAAAUUUAGUAGCGAAGUAGCUGAUUUCACACUGUCGAGAAAAGUCUCUAUCGAGGUUAAAGGUGCCUGUACCGCGAACCGACACAGGUGGGUGAGGAGAGUAUCCUAAGGCCAGCGAGAGAACUGUUGUUAAGGAACUCGGCAAAAUGACCCCGUAACUUCGGGAGAAGGGGUGCCUUCGAAAGAAGGCCGCAGAGAAUAGGCCCAAGCGACUGUUUACCAAAAACAUAGGUUUCUGCUAAGUCGCAAGACGAUGUAUAGGAGCUGACGCCUGCCCGGUGCUGGAAGGUUAAGGGGAUCUGUUAGAGCAAUCGAAGCAGUGAACUUAAGCCCCAGUAAACGGCGGCCGUAACAAUAACGGUCCUAAGGUAGCGAAAUUCCCUGUCGGGUAAGUUCCGACCCGCACGAAAGGCGUAACGAUUUGGGCACUGUCUCAACAACAGACUCGGUGAAAUUGUAAUACCGGUGAAGAUGCCGGUUACCUGCGACAGGACGGAAAGACCCCAUGGAGCUUUACUGUAGCUUGACAUUGAGUCUCGGUGCUACAUGUACAGGAUAGGUGGGAGACUAUGAAGCAUGGACGUCAGUCUGUGUGGAGUCAUCCUUGGGAUACCACCCUUGUAGUACUGGGAUUCUAACCAGAGGCCAUGAAUCUGGUCUUGGGACACUGUCAGGUGGACAGUUUGACUGGGGCGGUCGCCUCCCAAAAAGUAACGGAGGCGCUCAAAGGUUCUCUCAGUACGGUCGGAAGUCGUACGAAGAGUGUAAAGGCAAAAGAGAGCUUGAUUGCAAGACAUACAGGUCGAGCAAGGACGAAAGUCGGACUUAGUGAUCCGGUGGUUCCGCAUGGAAGGGCCAUCGCUCAACGGAUAAAAGCUACCCUGGGGAUAACAGGCUGAUCUCCCCCAAGAGUCCACAUCGACGGGGAGGUUUGGCACCUCGAUGUCGGCUCAUCACAUCCUGGGGCUGUAGUAGGUCCCAAGGGUUGGGCUGUUCGCCCAUUAAAGUGGUACGCGAGCUGGGUUCAGAACGUCGUGAGACAGUUCGGUCCCUAUCCGUCGCAGGCGUAGGAAAUUUGAGGAGACCUGUCCUUAGUACGAGAGGACCGGGAUGGACGUACCGCUGGUGUACCAGUUGUUCUGCCAAGGGCAUGGCUGGGUAGCUAAGUACGGAAAGGAUAAGCGCUGAAAGCAUCUAAGCGCGAAGCCCACUUCAAGAUAAGAUUUCCCACCGCAAGGUUAAGAUCCCAGGAAGACCACCUGGUUGAUAGGUCAGAGGUGUAAGUGCAGUAAUGUAUUUAGCUUACUGAUACUAAUAGAUCGAGGACUUGACGA